rfam:Schistosoma mansoni, Puerto Rico, WGS project CABG01000000 data, contig: 0113
AUCCGGCCGACGAGUCCCAAAUAGGACGAAACGCGCGUCCUGGAU